rfam:Oryza meridionalis cultivar OR44 (W2112) chromosome 4, whole genome shotgun sequence.
UUUAAAUGUCGUCGUGGAUUUCUGUGAAUAACGUUUGACCGUCCAUUUUAUUUGAAAAUUUCUUACCAUUAGUAUUCUAUUAUCAUUAACAAUAAAAUACGAAUAAUAUUUUAUGUGUGACUUAUUUUUAAAAAAAAUUAUAAAUUUUUUAAAUAAAACGGACGGUUAAACAUUAGACACGGAGAACCACAUCUCCACCUAAA